CCUUCUAAUAUAAAAAUUUGGGUAAACUUCAAAUAUCACCCAUGUAGUUUUCAACUUUCUCAUUUUAGUACUCCGUAGUUUAAAGUGUAUUAAUUUAGUACGCUGUGGUUUUAUUUUUCUCUUUCGUCAGCCUCUCUGUUAACUUUUCGUUAAAUCAUAUAAAAAGCCGCUUUAGUACUCUUUAAUUUUAACUUUGUCACUGAUUUAAUAAAAAAAAUUAGUGGAGAGGAGAAUAAAAAGAAAAAAAUAAAAUCACAAGGUGCGAAAGUGAUACACUUUAAACCACAGGAUACUAAAGUGAAAAACUACGAAAUCACAAGGGUGGUAUUUGAAGUUU
rnacentral:lncRNA from 1 species